CUAGUUGGUGAGGUAACGGCUCACCAAGGCAACGAUCGGUAGGGGGUCUGAGAGGAUGAUCCCCCACACGGGUACUGAGACACGGACCCGACUCCUACGGGAGGCAGCAGUAAGGAAUAUUGGACAAUGGAGGCAACUCUGAUCCAGCCAUGCCGCGUGAAGGAUGAAGGCCCUACGGGUUGUAAACUUCUUUUCUCUUAGAAAAAACUACUGGUUUCGUACCGGUACUGAUUGUACAAGAGGAAUAAGCAUCGGCUAACUUCGUGCCAGCAGCCGCGGUAAUACGAAGGAUGCAAGCGUUAUCCGGAUUCACUGGGUUUAAAGGGUGUGCAGGUGGGGUAAUAAGUCAGUGGUGAAAGCCCCCGACUCAAUCGGGGAACUGCCAUAGAUACUGUUAUUCUUGAGUGUAGUUGAGGCGGAUGGAAUAUGACAUGUAGCGGUGAAAUGCUUAGAUAUGUCAUAGAACACCGAUCGCGAAGGCAGUCCGCCAAACUAUUACUGACACUGAAACACGAAAGUGCGGGGAUCAAACAGGAUUAGAUACCCUGGUAGUCCGCACCGUAAACGAUGAUCACUCGUUGUUGGCGAUACACAGUCAGCGACUAAGCGAAAGCAUUAAGUGAUCCACCUGGGAAGUACGACCGCAAGGUUGAAACUCAAAGGAAUUGACG
rnacentral:rRNA from 1 species